GACACAUCUCUCAGGCCAGGGAAAUAGAUGACCAGGCCAGCAAGGGAACCACGAUUCCAUGGUACAGACCAGCCAAUGGAGAGCGCACUGCGUGUGCUUAGUAAAAAUUUAUGGGCCUAGUCUGGCAGAUGGAAAAGUUGAGGGGAAGCCCAGUAGCGGCAUCAUUUGGCCAUUGUGAGCGGUCCUAUUUUUCACACCCUUCCUGGGGCUAGACUCCAAACGCGCUAUAGUUGGAAAAGUUUUGCAAAACCCUUUAAGUUAUUAAGUUAUGACGCACGCACACGAAGCAUUUGAUUUUUGACUGAUAGAUUUGUUGAAAAAGACGACAGAUACCCCGCUUUUCGUUUUACCCCUUGCAACAAAAUUGGACUUGGCUCAUCAACAUUACCCACCUGACAAGCGCAGGCAGUUCCCGAAGAAGGAUAUGUAAGGAACGGACUUUCCAGGAUACAAACCUGGUUGAAAUUAGUCGGUCGCUUAUCCCUCUGGACCAAUCACACUGAAGUUAGAUUGACGGGCCCAGAUUAUAAUGUUGGAUAAGCGCAAAUGUAAUGAAAACUGAACAAGAGGAUUAAUGCGGCCAAAGCGCAAUGCGGCUUAAAGUCAACUUAAUGAGAGCCAGUUCCAAUCUGACUGGAUGGCCAUAUGGCAUAUAACUAUGUUAACUAUUUUGUCAAGGUAGAAAAUAUCAAGGCACUGUAAAAAAAAAAUAAAAUACCUUAUUUGUAACACUACUACGAACCAAACAAUAUAAGCUAAUUUAAUUACAUAAAAAUAAAUUACAUAGUUGAACUGAAGUUCAACAGUUUGUUACCCUA
rnacentral:sRNA from 13 species